UACAGAGGGUGCGAGCGUUAAUCGGAAUUACUGGGCGUAAAGCGCACGUAGGUGGCUACGUAAGUCGGGUGUGAAAGCCCCGGGCUCAACCUGGGAAUUGCAUUCGAGACUGCAUUGCUGGAGUACGGAAGAGGAAGGCGGAAUUCCCGGUGUAGCGGUGAAAUGCGUAGAUAUCGGGAGGAACAUCAGUGGCGAAGGCGGCCUUCUGGUCCAGUACUGACACUCAAGUGCGAAAGCGUGGGGAGCAAACAGG
rnacentral:rRNA from 1 species